rnacentral:rRNA from 1 species
GACGAACGCUGGCGGCGUGCUUAACACAUGCAAGUCGAGCGGUAAGGCCCUUUCGGGGGUACACGAGCGGCGAACGGGUGAGUAACACGUGGGUGACCUGCCCUCAGCUCUGGGAUAAGCCUGGGAAACCGGGUCUAAUACCGGAUAUGACUCCAUGACGCAUGGUUGUGGGGUGGAAAGCCUUGUGCGGCUGAGGAUGGGCCCGCGGCCUAUCAGCUUGUUGGUGGGGUGAUGGCCCUACCAAGGCGACGACGGGUAGCCGGCCUGAGAGGGCGACCGGCCACACUGGGACUGAGACACGGCCCAGACUCCUACGGGAGGCAGCAGUGGGGAAUCUUGCGCAAUGGGCGAAAGCCUGACGCAGCGACGCC